UCGGAGACGGUGCUCGUGCGGGCGGUGAUGCGACACGCGUAUCCGAAAGACUCUCGGCAACGGAUAUCUCGGCUCUUGCAUCGAUGAAGAACGUAGCGAAAUGCGAUACUUGGUGUGAAUUGCAGAAUCCCGUGAACCAUCGAGUCUUUGAACGCAAGUUGCGCCCGAAGCCAUUAGGCUGAGGGCACGCCUGCCUGGGUGUCGCCCAUCGUUGCCCCAUUGCUUUGGCCUCGUGCUAGGCACCGAGCUGGGCGAAUGCUGGCUUCCCGCGAGCAACGCCUCACGGUUGGUUGAAAACUGAGUCCGUGGUGGAGGGCGCCGUGACGGAUGGUGGUUGUU
rnacentral:rRNA from 1 species